GCCGGCGUAGCUCAGUUGGCAGAGCAAUCGCCUUGUAAGCGAUAGGUCGGGGGUUCGAGUCCCCCUGCCGGCUCCA
rnacentral:tRNA from 1 species